GGAUGUGAUGAUAGUAAUUGUCGCCCCAGUCUUAAUUUGCACUCUAAGGUGUAACAUGGUGACUGACUUCUUAUCUGAUCC